GUGAGGUCACUUGGGUUCCCCCGGGAGGGACAGCAGCUCACCCCUCUGCUCAUGGACCACCCUCACAACUGAGCAGCUGCAGCUCAAACACACCAGCUGAGGGCAAACAGCUGCAGGUACCUGGGCCCUGAGCUCACCAGUGAGAGGGACAUCAGGUGCAGACACCUUGCUGAGAAGAUUCUCUGGCUGAAGAAACCAAACCCUUUUUGGAGAGCAGCAUUCUGCCCCUCUGCCACUGCUGUUGCAGUGCAGAUGUCAGGAAGUUCACGCUGCUGGUGGACGUUUGCAGAGUGAAUCACGGGGCACCACUUUCCAUUUUGACAAAAACAACUGCUGCUCAGUCAACAAGAUGCUGCUGAUCAAACGGGUGGAUGGAACUCCUGCAACUGCUGCCAAAAGGGCUCCACCAGCACAAGCAAGCUCUGUGAGCUGGCUUGGAGAACUGGGAUUUAUUUUUGCUUCCCUGUUCUUAAGAGACUACUCAGAGUUUCGUGUUCCUACCCAACACCUGAGGGGCUCAGCCUGUGGCUACCAGCUUUGGCCUGCAAGGGGAGAAAAUGCUUGCUGCUGGAAGAGACUAGAAUAAUUAAAUUGGGGUGAAAAAGAGGCAGAUAAUGUUUUAUGGAACAUGGAGUGCUACAGGAGACAAGAAAAACAGCUUCUUCUGGUGCCUAUUGCCAAAAUUUCAGAAGACCAGACAACAACUUGAGAAUUUCCAAGGGAACAGCCACUGAGUCAGUCAAAAAUAGAAUUAGGAAACUGCCUGUUUCAAAAGAAAGUCUGUAAGAUGUGCCAGUAUUUUUCAGUAUUUCUGUAAUUUCUGAGUAGAACACUCAAGAGUUAACACACAUUUAUCUACCCAAAAAAAAAAAAAAAAAAGCCAACCCACAGAAAAAGGCAAAAUGAGAAAGGAAAUCUAUGUAGCAAAGAAACACUCAUCGUAUUUCAUAUACUUAAAAUAAAAAUCACUGAUCACUUUUGCACACAUUUAUGCAAAGUUCAUUAUUCUAUGCAAUUUUCAAACGUCUCUACUUCCUUAGGCAUCAUCAACAACCAAGGACAGCUUUCCUGCAGUCACCCUGUUAUUCAAAAUGUGGAUAAAUCUGAACAUGCAAAAAAGGCAAUAAUGAAUGCUCUUCCCUGAAAGAGGACAAUAAGACUUACACUGUUCUUUUUUACUAACUGAUUUUUUAAAUUUCAAUGAUUAAAAGCAAGAAAUGCUUAAGGGAAAGGGAGUAACUUUCUAUUUUAUUAUUCCUCGGUGUUAGUUUUCUGCUAUAUAGGUUAUAAUGUGGCACUCAUUAACAAUUCAUAGAUAAUUACCAUAUUCAAGUAGCACAGCAAGUUUUUACUACCUACCCAGGCAAAAUCCUGCACAACCCUACUUGCUCCCUUUACUUAUUGUCCCAGAGGGAUGUCACGCUGGAAGAGCUGGCAUUUAUCACCUAACGGGAGAGGAAUUCCAACAGGUGAGAAACGCCAAGGAGCCCGGAACAGAACAACAUUCCAUUAAAUCACUGCCAAUGCAGAGCUGCGCAGCAAAAGGAAGCUCUGGAGAUGUGUGCUGGAGGCUGCCUUGGAAUCAAAACCCCCGACGGGAUUCUGGAGCAACGUCCCCUGCUUUGAAUUUCUCGGAGCGCUGCAGGGGGAUGCGAGUGAGAGGCAGGAGGGAUCGGCUUUGUCUGCGAGGGAUCCUCGCUGGAAGCGCCGGCAGCCGGAACGGGAGCGGAGCUGCGGGAUCCCCCCGACCCACGGGGAGCAUCCCGGGGAUUCCAGCGGGAACCAAACCAGGACAAACCCGCAGAGGGAACUCAGAAGCACGAGGAGCUCAAGUCCCAGGAGAGGAACGAGCCCUCUGAUGCAGAUCAGGAUUGCAGAAAAAAGGCUUUCGGCAAGAUUUGAUUCCCCACACAGCAAUGCCUUGGAGUGCCCACCUCGUGUUCCCUCUCUGCGUCUUUCACAGACGCUUGAUCAUUGCAGUAGCUUAAUAACUCAUCCAUUUUACAGGUCAGGAAAUGAAAACCCCUAAAUUACUGAAUAAACAUCACAAAUUAGCAA